rnacentral:rRNA from 1 species
UACGUAGGUGGCAAGCGUUGUCCGGAUUUACUGGGCGUAAAGAGCGCGCAGGCGGUCGUGCAAGUCGCGUGUGAAAGCCCCCGGCUCAACUGGGGAGGGUCACGCGAUACUGCUCGACUCGAAGGCAGGAGAGGGAAGUGGAAUUCCCGGUGUAGUGGUGAAAUGCGUAGAUAUCCGGAGGAACACCAAAGGCGAAGGCAGUGUCCUGGGGAGUACCUGACGCUCAGGUGCGAAAGCCAGGGGAGCGAACGGG